UUUACCUCCCCUCAGCAAAGCGAUAAGGCCAUACAGACGAUUGGGAUGAGCGCACGCUCUUCAGGCCUACGCAUCAACACAGACAAGAGCUAUAAAACGUCAACUCAGGUCGUCCUUUGCCAAACCAUGAAAAUAUUCAACUUCAGUAGAAUAAAACUAAAGCAUUACUAGUUACUCACUGGGUGACAACUCCAUAUCGGAAUCUGCAUAGUCCCUCACAGGAUCCUCGCCGUUUCGCACAUUGGCCCGUCUAUUGCCCACUAAUUGCAACCCGAAGCUCUUUUAUGGAUUGUCCCUGGGCUAUCCGAGACUGGACAAUGGCGAGUAAUAUACUCGGAAGCGGUGGCUGGUGUGCAUGCCUUCGAAGUCUGACCAGGAGGCUGCUCCGUCUACCUCAUCUGCGGCGACGUUGUUUUGGGUUGGCCUCUGGAAUCAGAUCCAAUGUCCUGGUUGGUGGUGCGAACAAAGGAUCCGCUUCGGGAAAGUCGUAUUCCUGGUUUUAAUGUUGGACUAUGCCUCAGGACUACAUGGCCUAAUGACUCCUGGCUGUCCCCAGUCCAUCUGGUCGUGCUGCAGCUCCAAUUUCAACUGUUCUGCCUAUGGAACCCUGACCUGUUCACCGGACGUGCUACCUUGUUCCGGAGCUGCUGUUUUUGUCUCU